rnacentral:ncRNA from 1 species
UGCCCGCAACUUCGGGAGAAGUCCAUAGAACCUUAUCAUUUAGAGGAAGGAGAAGUCGUAACAAGAUUUCCGUAGGUGAACCUGCGGAAGGAAUAUUGUCAAAACCUGCAAAGCAGAACGACCCGCGAACAUGUUUUAAACACUUGGGGGAGACGCGCUCUCGUCGUGGCCCCUCCCGUCCCGGUCGGAUGUGGAACGGAGAAGAAUCUGUCCGCCGAUCGACUUGGGGCGUGGAUCAGCGUGGAUUGGGGGGGCGACCAAAGCCCAGGCUCUCGAUACGCCAUAGGAACACGGUUUCCUUGAUUAUGAUAUCCAGUGCACGCCUCUGGCGUGCUUCGGCAUCUGCACGCUCUGGACGCUGGUUUGUGGGCUCCCCAUUCUACCCGUAUUGAAACAUGGACCAAGAAGUCUGACAUGUGUGCGACUCAACGGGCGAGUAAACCCGUAAGGCAUAAGGAAGCUGAUUGGUGGGAUCCCCCUAAGGGGUGCACCGCCGAUCGACCUUGAUCUUCUGAGAAGGGUUCGAGUGUGAGCAUACCUAUCGAGACUCGAAAGAUGGUGAACUAUGGCUGAGCGGGGCAAAGCCAAAUAAAAUUCUAGUGGAGGCCCGCAGCGAUACUGACGUGGAAAUCGUUUGUCUUACUUGGGUAUAGGGGCGAAAGACUAAUCGAACCGUCUAGUAGCUGGUUCCCUCCGAAAUUUCCCUCAGGAUAGGUGGAGCUCGCAUGCGUGUUAUAUCAGGUAAAGCCAAUGAUUAGAGGCCUCGGGUGCGCAACGCCCUCGACCUAUUCUCAAACUUUAAAUAGGUAGGACGGCACGACUGCUUUGUUGAGCCGCGCAACGGAAUCAAGAGCUCCAACUUGGCCAUUUUUAGUAAGCAGAACUGGCGAUGCGGGAUGAACCGGAAGCCGGGUUACGGUGCCAAACUACGCGCUAACCUAGAUCCCACAAAGGGUGUUGGUCGAUUAAGACAGGACGGUGGUCAUGGAAGUGGAAAUCCGCUAAGGAGUGUGUAACAACUCACCUGCCGAAUCAACUAACCCCGAAAAUGGAUGGCGCUUAAGCGCACGACCUACACCCGACCGUCGGGGCAAGUGCCCUGCCCCGAUGGUUAGGAGGGUGCGGUAGGUGCUGCAAAAACUAGGGCAUGAGCCUGGGUGGAGCGGCCGUCGGUGCAGAUUUUGGUGGUAGUAGCAAAUAUUCAAAUUAGAACUUUGAAGGCCGAAAAGGGGAAAGGCCGACGU